rnacentral:rRNA from 1 species
GAUGAACGCUGGCGGCGUGCUUAACACAUGCAAGUCGAACGGAAAGGCCCAAGCUUGCUUGGGUACUCGAGUGGCGAACGGGUGAGUAACACGUGGGUGAUCUGUCCUGCUCUUCGGGAUAAGCCUGGGAAACUGGGUCUAAUAUCGGAUAGGACGAUGGUUUGGAUGUCAUUGUGUAAUGUUUUUUCGGUGUGGGAUGAGUUCGGGGCCUAUCAGCUUGUUGGUGGGGUAAUGGCCUACCAAGGCGUCGACGGGUAGCCGGCCUGGGAGGGUGUACGGCCACAUUGGAACUGAAAUGCGGCCCAGACUCCUGCAGGAGGCAGCAGGGGGGAAAAUUGGACAGUGGGCGCAAGCCUGAUGCAGGGAGGCCGCGGGGGGGAUGACGGCUGUCAGGUGGUAAACACCAAUCGCUAAGGACGAAGCGUUGUUGUGACGGUACCUGGAGAGGAAGCACCGGCUAACUACGUG